rnacentral:rRNA from 1 species
UACAGAGGUCCCAAGCGUUGUUCGGAUUCACUGGGCGUAAAGGGCGCGUAGGCGGCGCGACAAGUCACUUGUGAAAUCUCCGGGCUUAACCCGGAGCGGCCAAGUGAUACUGUAGUGCUAGAGUGCGGAAGGGGCUACUGGAAUUCUCGGUGUAGCGGUGGAAUGCGCAGAUAUCAGGAGGAACACCGAUAGCGAAGGCAGCUCGCUGGGACGGUACUGACGCUGAGGCGCGAAAGCGUGGGGAGCGAACAGG